UGGCUUCAGAUGACAAGCGGAUGUUAUUAUUAUUCACUUCCGGGUGCAACCAAUCAGGCGCCAUCUUGUCUUGUUCGUGAAGAAGUAGAAGCAUCGAAAGGUUUGGAGAGGUAUUACAGGAACUGUGGCGAUAGCGGGGUUCCGGAACCAGAGUGGGGCAUAAGUAAUCUUGCUGCUAUGCUUCCAAGCUGUAGUCUGAAUCAACCCAAAUUUUAAACAGAAGGUGAACCUCUGAGAUAGAAAAUCAAAUAUAUUUUAAAAAGUCAGGAUGUGGGAUCAAGGAGGACAGCCUUGGCAGCAAUGGCCCUUGAACCAACAACAGUGGAUGCAGUCGUUCCAGCACCAGCAAGAUCCAAGUCAGAUUGACUGGGCUGCAUUGGCUCAAGCUUGGAUUGCUCAAAGAGAAGCUUCAGGGCAGCAAAGUAUGGUAGAACAACCACCAGGAAUGAUGCCAAAUGGACAAGAUAUGUCUACAAUGGAAUCUGGUCCAAACAAUCAUGGGAGUUUUCAAGGGGAUUCAAACUUUAACAGAAUGUGGCAACCAGAAUGGGGAAUGCAUCAGCAGCCCCCACACCCCCCUCCAGAUCAGCCAUGGAUGCCACCAACACCAGGCCCAAUGGACAUUGUUCCUCCUUCCGAAGACAGCAACAGUCAGGACAGUGGGGAAUUUGCCCCUGACAACAGGCAUAUAUUUAACCAGAACAAUCACAACUUUGGUGGACCACCCGAUAAUUUUGCAGUGGGGCCAGUGAACCAGUUUGACUAUCAGCAUGGGGCUGCUUUUGGUCCACCGCAAGGUGGAUUUCAUCCUCCUUAUUGGCAACCAGGACCUCCAGGACCUCCAGCACCUCCCCAGAAUCGAAGAGAAAGGCCAUCAUCAUUCAGGGAUCGGCAGCGUUCACCUAUUGCACUUCCUGUGAAGCAGGAGCCUCCACAAAUUGAUGCAGUAAAACGCAGGACUCUUCCAGCUUGGAUUCGAGAAGGUCUUGAAAAAAUGGAACGUGAAAAGCAGAAGAAGUUGGAGAAAGAAAGAAUGGAACAACAACGUUCACAAUUGUCCAAAAAAGAAAAGAAGGCCACAGAAGAUGCUGAAGGAGGAGAUGGCCCUCGUUUACCUCAGAGAAGUAAAUUUGAUAGUGAUGAGGAAGAUGAAGAUACUGAAAAUGUUGAGGCUGCAAGUAGUGGAAAAGUCACCAGAAGUCCAUCUCCAGUUCCUCAGGAAGAGCACAGUGAACCAGAGAUGACUGAAGAAGAGAAAGAGUAUCAAAUGAUGUUGCUGACAAAAAUGCUUCUGACUGAAAUUCUACUGGAUGUCACAGAUGAAGAAAUUUAUUACGUAGCCAAAGAUGCGCACCGGAAAGCAACGAAAGCUCCUGCAAAACAGCUGGCACAGUCCAGUGCACUGGCUUCCCUCACUGGACUCGGUGGACUGGGUGGUUAUGGAUCAGGAGACAGUGAAGAUGAGAGGAGUGACAGAGGCUCUGAGUCAUCUGACACUGAUGAUGAGGAGUUACGGCACCGAAUCCGGCAAAAACAGGAAGCUUUUUGGAGAAAAGAAAAAGAACAGCAGCUGUUACAUGAUAAACAGAUGGAAGAAGAAAAGCAACAAACAGAAAGGGUUACAAAAGAGAUGAAUGAAUUUAUCCAUAAAGAGCAAAAUAGUUUAUCACUACUAGAAGCAAGAGAAGCAGACGGUGAUGUGGUUAAUGAAAAGAAAAGAACUCCAAAUGAAACUACGUCAGUUUUAGAACCAAAAAAAGAGCAUAAAGAAAAAGAGAAACAAGGAAGGAGUAGAUCAGGAAGUUCUAGUAGUGGUAGUUCCAGUAGCAAUAGCAGAACUAGUAGUACUAGUAGUACUGUCUCUAGCUCUUCAUACAGUUCUAGCUCAGGUAGUAGUCGCACUUCUUCUCGGUCUUCUUCUCCUAAAAGGAAAAAGAGACAUAGCAGGAGUAGAUCUCCAACAAUUAAAGCUAGACGGAGUAGAAGUAGAAGUUACUCUCGCAGAAUUAAAAUAGAGAGCAAUAGGGCUAGAGUCAAGAUUAGAGAUAGGAGAAGAUCUAAUAGAAAUAGCAUUGAGAGAGAAAGACGAAGAAAUCGGAGUCCUUCUCGAGAGAGACGUAGAAGUAGAAGUCGCUCAAGGGAUAGGCGAACUAAUCGGUCCAGUCGCAGUAGGAGUCGAGAUAGGCGUAAAAUUGACGAUCAACGUGGAAAUCUUAGUGGGAGCAGUCAUAAGCAUAAAGGUGAGGCUAAAGAACAGGAGAGAAAAAAGGAGAGGAGCCGAAGUAUAGAUAAAGAUAGGAAAAAGAAAGACAAAGAAAGGGAACGUGAACAGGAUAAGAGAAAAGAGAAACAAAAAAGGGAAGAAAAAGAUUUUAAGUUCAGUAGUCAGGAUGAUAGGUUAAAAAGGAAACGAGAAAGCGAAAGAACAUUCUCUAGGAGUGGUUCUAUAUCUGUUAAAAUCAUCCGACAUGAUUCUAGACAGGAUAGUAAGAAAAGUACUACCAAAGAUAGUAAAAAACAUUCAGGCUCUGAUUCUAGUGGAAGGAGCAGUUCUGAAUCUCCAGGAAGUAGCAAAGAAAAGAAGGCUAAGAAGCCUAAACAUAGUCGAUCGCGAUCCAUGGAGAAAUCUCAAAGGUCUGGUAAGAAGGCAAGCCGCAAACACAAGUCUAAGUCCCGAUCAAGAUCAACAACCCCUCCCCGUCGUAAACGCUGAGGAAUGAUGUGGCAAGGAUGCCAUGAUGUUUAAAAAAUUCCAUGAGUUUUAAGGGCUUGUCUCAUUAUAGAGGCACAUUGUGGCUGUUGUCUAAGUCAUUGUUUCUUCAAAGAAACAAAUGAAGUAUAAUUAAUCAGUAGGUGAGAUUUCUUCUUUUAUGUGGGAAUUUUUAAAAAGGAAUUGUAUGAGGUCCAAAGUUCCUGUAAUAUUGUCUUGGAAACGUUUACAUUUUAACGGAUUUUUCUUCUCUUAUAUACAUUAAAGUCUAUUUUCAUUUGUUGAAGUUUCUAAAAUGUACUAAUCAUGGUUUGAUGGAAAUAUUAUUAGAUCCGUUGAAUUGUUCUGACUCUGCUGCUUAAUUUAUUUUGGACAAAUCAUUUAAACACAAUGGGCUUCAAUUUCUUCAACUGUAGAAGGGGGGGAUUAGAUUAUUUUUAAGGUCUUGAAUACUUCUAGCUCUUAAAAGUUUUUCAGUUUUAAGUGGAAUUUGGCUGUAAUGUCUAAUCCUGAAUGAGAAAAUAGGCUUUUUAUUAACCCUUAUAACCCAUGUGUGAGGAGUUACAUUUUAUACCAUGAAGAUUUGCCAGAUGUGCUCUAGAGUUUUCCUGUAAAUAUACAAAGAUUAAAUCUGCCACACUCUGAUUAUGGUAAUGUAAGUAAAGAGGAAAUUAUCCUGAGUUACCAAUUUAUGUGUAAAUAUGAAUAUUUACCAGUUAAACUCUUGAGCUGAUGCAUAUUAUUUCAAAGGGAUAAAGUUAUUAGAUGUAAAGGAGUAGUACUUCACACUUAAUUUGGAAGAGAGAAGUUUUUAUAAAAUGGAAUUUCAAAAUAUUAAGUAAAUUUUCAGUUUUUAUGGUAAAAUAAAUUGUAGAUGCUGGUUUACAACACAUGGGUGAGACACCAUAUCAGUGGUCUGGGAAAUACCUCCAGCAAUGGCCACACACCACAUUACAAUUGCUAGUCUUUCCAGCACAACUCUGGUUGAAGUGUCAUUGGAAAAGGCUUUUCGGUAUUUGCAGAGAAAAGUACUAUGAGCUAGUUUUGCUUACCUGGACCAAACUGGUGGGUAUUCAAGAGGUUUUUGUUUCCUGUCAGUAUUAAAGGCAAAUCACUGAUUGCCUUUGUUGUUGAAUUGAAAAGGUAGUGGGGAAGGGCCUGAAGCCCAAGGAAGUGGUACAUUCAAAUAAAGCAUAUUUAAAUAAAGCUUUUAAAACUUUUAAAAUCA